rnacentral:sRNA from 1 species
UAUCCUUGAUUCAGAAACAAGAUAAAAAGACGUUUAAGCUCUUCCAAUCAAGGGAACGUGAGCUGAUGAACAAGUACA